UACGUAGACCUCGAGCGUUAUCCGAAUUUAUUGGGCGUAAAGCGAAUGUAGGAGGUUUGGUGCGUCUCAUGUUAAAGCCCACUGCUCAACGGUGGAUGUGCAUGGGAUACGGCCAGGCUAGAGGAGGUUAGAGGUGAACAGAACGCACGGUGUAGGGGUGAAAUCCGUUGAUAUCGUGCGGAAUACCAAAGGCGAAGGCAGUUCACUGGGACCUUCCUGACUCUAAGAUUCGAAAGCGUGGGGAGCAAAAAGG
rnacentral:rRNA from 1 species